rnacentral:rRNA from 1 species
GACGAACGCUGGCGGCGUGCUUAACACAUGCAAGUCGAACGGAGCGAAUGAAAGCUUGCUUUUAUAAGCUUAGUGGCAAACGGGUGAGUAACACGUAGGCAACCUGCCGACAGGAUGGGGACAACAUUCCGAAAGGAAUGCUAAUACCGAAUGAAGUCGAGGGAGGGCAUCCUCCUCCGAUGAAAGAUGGCCUCUAUAUAUAAGCUAUCACCUGUCGAUGGGCCUGCGUCUGAUUAGCUGGUAGGUGAGGUAACGGCUCACCUAGGCGACGAUCAGUAGCCGGUCUGAGAGGAUGAACGGCCACAUUGGGACUGAGACACGGCCCAGACUCCUACGGGAGGCAGCAGUGGGGAAUCUUCCGCAAUGGGCGCAAGCCUGACGGAGCAACGCCGCGUGAGUGAAGAAGGUCUUCGGAUCGUAAAGCUCUGUUGAUGGGG